UUUCACCUGACGAGUCCCAAAUGGGACGAAACGCGCGUCAAACUGGAU
rnacentral:hammerhead_ribozyme from 1 species